CAGUCGAACGGAGAUUAUACGCAGAGGCGAUUUCGGUCAAAUCAUGUAAAAUCUUAGUGGCGGACGGGUGAGUAACGCGUGGGUAACCUGCCUUACACUGGGGGAUAACACUUAGAAAUAGGUGCUAAUACCGCAUAAGCGCACGAAGCCGCAUGGAUUUGUGUGAAAAACUCCGGUGGUGUAAGAUGGACCCGCGUCUGAUUAGCUUGUUGGCGGGGUAACGGCCCACCAAGGCGACGAUCAGUAGCCGGCCUGAGAGGGUGGACGGCCACAUUGGGACUGAGACACGGCCCAAACUCCUACGGGAGGCAGCAGUGGGGGAUAUUGGACAAUGGGGGGAACCCUGAUCCAGCGACGCCGCGUGAGUGAAGAAGUAUUUCGGUAUGUAAAGCUCCGUCAGCAGGGAAGAAAGAAAUGACGGUACCUGACCAAGAAGCCCCGGCUAACUACGUGCCAGCAGCCGCGGUAAUACGUAGGGGGCAAGCGUUAUCCGGAAUUACUGGGUGUAAAGGGAGCGUAGACGGUUAAGUAAGUCUGGAGUGAAAGGCCGGGGCCCAACCCCGGGACUGCUCUGGAAACUAUUGAACUUGAGUGCAGGAGAGGUAAGCGGAAUUCCUAGUGUAGCGGUGAAAUGCGUAGAUAUUAGGAGGAACACCAGUGGCGAAGGCGGCUUACUGGACUGUAACUGACGUUGAGGCUCGAAAGCGUGGGGAGCAAACAGGAUUAGAUACCCUGGUAGUCCACGCCGUAAACGAUGAUUACUAGGUGUCGGUGGGUAUGGACCCAUCGGUGCCGCAGCAAACGCAGUAAGUAAUCCACCUGGGGA
rnacentral:rRNA from 1 species